rnacentral:lncRNA from 1 species
AAUUUUUCUAAUAAUUUAUUCAAAUAGGCAUCAAGCUCCACACAGGCACAAGGGCCAAGAGGUGCCCCCAAGGGCUCGUGUGUGGGGCGAGGAGGCAGGUGGUCCUACAGAGGGGGUGGUCCUGCAGUGCAGGUGAGUGCCGCACAUGCUGGUGGCAUCACCAAGGCCGGGACUGCGCUGCAGUAACACCCACCUCCCACUGGCUCAAAGCAAAGGGUCUGUGUGUCACUCAUGUCGCUGCUGAACCCGGGCUGGGUGGCCCUCCCACAGCCCCCAGGGCUAUGGUCUCUGGGUCACAGAGUGUCGCUGCUGAACCCGGGCUGGGUGGCCCUCCCACAGCCCCCAGGGCUACGGUCUCUGGGUCACAGAGCAGGCAUAGGAGCUGCCUCAGCCCAGCCUGACCCCCAGCCCUUGUGCCCACAGUUUGCUGGGCAGAGCUGAUGGCGGCCCCACCCUGCCUGUGGAGGAGUCCUGGAGGUGUGGGAGCAGCAGCAGGCCAGGCUGGCCCAGGCCCCUCCCUUUUACUAAAAGAAAAGCAUCUCAUGUGGGAGGUAGAAAGGGCAGAGCUGGGGAGGGUCUCAUUGCUGGUUUCAAACUCUUUUUGCCAAAUACUUUUUGUCCACACCUAACCCUCCACAGGAGAGUGGCCAAGAUGCCCGGCUGCUCAUAAAAGAGGCCCCAGAGCACCCCUCCCCCGUCCGCCAUGUGAGGACGCAGUGACACAACUAGGGAAGCCGGUCCUCGUCCUCACCACACACGGAAUCUGCCGGUACCUUGAUCUGAGACUCCCCAGCCUUCAAAGCUCUGAGAAAUGCAUUGUUGUUUCUAAGUCCCCCAGUCUAUGGCAUUUUGUUAUGGCAGCCAGAACUAAGCCAGGCUUCCACAUGUGCAUUCUGGGAGGACGCAGUUCAGUCCCUCACACUUGCUCUUCUCUGUUUUCCUCCUUAUGUUCCUAUCCUUCAUUCUGAGAAUUUUCUUCUGACCUACUUUCCAGUUAUUCAUUAUUUUUCAAUGACAUCUAAACUAUUUUUAAACCCACUUAUUGAGUUCUGAAACGUUGCUUGUAUUUUUUCCAGGCAAUCAUUUUUGUAUUGCAUUUACAAAUAGGCACAGAGAUAGAGACUGCAAUGAGAAAACAGAGAAUGCAAUGAGAAAAGUUGGAGUUCUAGAAAGAAAGUGGAGGGAGAAUAGGAAAAAUACAAUCAGAAAAAAAAAAUACAAAUCUUUCCUUUUCGUGUAAUUUUUAUUUCUCCACUGAAGUUCUUGACCUUGUCUUUUUCUUCUCAUGGACAAUGUCUCCAGCGCUUUCUGCAGCCAUCUGAGGGCGCUGUGUCUGCAUUCUCGUGUAGACGUUUUCAUUUGCAGUGUCUCCAGUCCUUUCUGCAGCCGGCCUCUGAGGGCGCUGUGUCUGCGUUCUUAUGUAGAUGUUUUCAUUCGCUGGGUUUCUCACCACUUACACUCGCGCUGCCAUCUCUCCAUGUGUGCCUGGCUCUUUCUUUCUUUGCCUGACAUUCUAUUUGCAAUGUUUUGGAAGGAGAAUCUGAGGCCAGAAUGAUGGCUCCUCCAGAGAGGGUGAGCCCGAGUGCCAGCAGCUUGGAGGGGCAGGGCGGCGGCUCUGGUGUCCUGCGGUUUGCGUGGGCUCUCUCUGCACUUACAGUCACAAAAAGACAGUAUCUCAGGCAGGAAUUCUCGCAGGGUGCAUGCUUCUCUUUUGACAGUUUAAUGUCACGCAUGGGUUCCUUUGUAAACAUCAGAUCAAUAGCAGAGUUCCAAAUUAAAACAUUAGGAUAAGAAGCCCAUGUUGAUUCAUCCGUCCCUGGAAUGGCCUAGAAGACGGGGCACCUGGUGUUCGGGGAUGCGUCUGUCUCAGGCCGGUCUCCAUGGGUCAGGUAGCCUAGGGUGGGAGGAGGAGGGCGGCGGGCAGCCUAGCGUGGGAGGAGGAGGGCGGCGGGCAGCCCCACAGCCGGGAUCCAGGAGAAAGGAAGGGCCACUCACUUUCUCUUCUUCACAAAGUCCUGGGAACGCAGGGAGGGGAGACGGGGUCUCGCUCUAAAAGGCAGCUUUGUAGCCAAACUGCUCCCUCCAGGCAGGAAGAGAAUCCCCGCUCAGAAGAAAGGUGGGCCACCCCUGAUGACGGCAGGUGGCCCCAAGUGUUUGGAUGCGGUGGGCCCCACUGGUUUGGGCCUAACCUCAAGCGGCUGCUAAUGGUUCCAUGAUACUUUUCCCGCUAACACUUCACAGAGAUGUCUGACUGAUGUCCACUGCUCAGCCGCACCCCCUGAGCUGGUGAGCAUUCAGGCAGAGCACCCACCUCUACUUUUCUCACCCCUAAAAUCAGAGACUGGUUCUAAGCUGGUGCAGCCACCGCCCCUGCGUGCCGGAUGCAGGACUUUCCCUGCCAACACUGGACAGUCCCAGCAAAGCAGACGGUGGGUCGCUCUGUAUCUCUGAAGAACAGCUGGGCCUGCGUGUGUCAUUCUCAGGCAUCUGGCCCAGGCCUUCUCCUCCAGGAAGGUGGGGAGGGGCUGCUCGGCUCCGGGCACUGCCAGGGGCCGUGGGCCCCACAUCCUUUCCAGGCUGUUCCGCAGCAUCUGCCUUCAUACUCACAGCCACCGCGGCGUGCGUCCCAGGGGUUCUCAGAAUAGAAUUCUGUGCCUCUCUCGCCUCUGGAAGUGACCGUGCUCUGUAGGAAAAUAUCACAGCACGCCGGCCUCAAAAGGCCAUGACGUGGCUCCAAACGCUAGAGACUGCUAGCAAUUUGCAAGUUUACGUGAAAAGCUUUGUGAUUUUCCAACACCCUGAGUAGUUCUAGCCAAAAUGCGUGAUUGGCCUCACACUAGACGCUUGCUGUAAUUGUGUCUCUGUAUUAAAUUGACCGUCCUUUGGAGCUUCAGAAUGGACCAGGAGGAAAAGGUAAAUACCAAGCUCGCUACAACCUCAGAGGCAUCAACGCCCUCCUGCUACAGACGCAUCUGUUCUCACCUGGCUCCUGCCAGCUGCCCUGGGAGAGGCCACAAAAUGCCCUCCAUGGACAGAAGACCUGAGAACCUUCGGGGCUCCUGCUGUCACUCACUGUGUUGAAGAACCGCCCGGUCAGCACGCUGGGCCCUAUACACAUACACACACGGCUCUGCGGAGGACGAGGAAGGGCCGUCAGAUGAGACUUCACCGUGAAAAAUGUGCAGAGACACAACAAUCUCGCUGAAUGAAAACUACAGACUCUAAUUUAUAAAAACUGUCUGUUUCAAAAGCCCCAAAUGUUUACAUUCUCCGAUUCAUCAUUCCUUCUUCUAAUUUAUUUUAGGAAAUAAUGCAAAGUACUCACAAAAAAAAUUUAUACAGAAAGAUGUUCAUUGCAGAAUUCAUUAUAAUAAAGAAAACCUGAGUACCCAGCGUCAGCGUGGUGAUAACAUGCAUACAAGGGAAUAUUGUGCAGCUUCAGUUAGUUCUUAUUACAUUUCAUAGGCAUCUUAAGUGCUUUGUGAACAUUGGUGUAUAGAUUUUUUUGUUUGGUGUAGAUGGCAAUAAUUAGAUGGGUGCAAGUAAUAAAAACAGGACGUAAUUUUAAAAAGAUUGAGUGACAGAAAAAAAUGAAACAAUGUUUAAAAAACUUUUUGGUUAUUAUAUUAUCACUACAAGGCCCUGUCUCCUUGCUCCCUUCUUUGGGG